UUGACAGAACAGCUAAGGUACAGAGGAGACAACAUUGCCUGGGCUUUCAGAGGAUGCAUAUCUAGGAGCAUCACAAGAAUGGAGAAAGUCAGCAAAGACGUUACUCCAAAAGCUUGGUCCUGGAGGAUUCAGAAAGAGGAGGAGUUGUCAUCACUGGAAUCACAGACCCGAGUGUCACUGAUAAGAUUGGCUUAAAAGAAGACAAUGAGAUUGUUGCGGUCACCAUCAAUCUGAAUCACUUCAGUAAAGAGGACAGGGUGAAAUUACUCAAGAUCAUGGAGCCUUACAAUGACAACAUGAGAGUUAUGACAAAGCAGGAUCUGAAAGCCAGCGCCAGUCUCGGAUCAUUGGAUGGUGGCCUCAAAGAUCCUGGGGAUGUAAGUGUCAGAAUCAAAUGUACUUAAUGAUUUAUGCCAGCAGUCAUUGCACUAUGCUGACAUAAUACUUCCAAUAUUAUUUUUCAGUUUUGAAGAAUUAGAGUGCCUUUGGAAAGUAUUCAGACCCGUUGACUUUUGCCACAUUUUGUUACGUCACAGCCUUACUACUCUAAAAUUGAUUCAACAAAUUCAAAUUGACCUGAACCUUUCUGCCCCUCAAAUUGAGGGAGCCAUUGCUGCUCCAGAUUUGAGUAUCAGUUUCCCUGAAGCUGACAUCAAAGGUCCAGAGGUAGAUCUUCAAGCCCUAGAUGUUGACCGUAAUGCUCCCUCUGGAAAAUUCAAUUUUCCUAAAAUCAAACUGCCAAAUGUUGGUUUAACAGGGCCAAGAGAUAAAGGACCAAACCUGGAUGUUAAUCUAAAGGCCCCAGAGUUGGAUGCCUCUGUACCCGAUGUGUAUGUCGAUUUGUCAACAGCUGACCUCCAAGCCUGUGUUGUAGAGCUGAAAACACCUGAUCUUUCCACCCACAAAAUUGAGGGAGCCAUCGCUGCUCCAUGUCUUGAUAUUCAUUUGUCUGAAGUAGACCUUAAAGCCCCUGAUCUCAACAUUGAGGUUCCAAUAAUUGAUCUUAAGACACAAGAUUCAGGCAUAUCAGUUCCAAAGGUCGAUGUGAAUUUACCAAAAGCAGAUACUCAAGGGUCUGAUCUAGACCUGAAUGCACCUGACCUCAACUGCUCAGCUCCAAAAAUUGAGGGAGACAUUGCUGCUCCAGGUAUCAAUGUCAGUUUGCCUGAAGCUGCCUGAAAAGCCACUGAUGACCAGCUGCAAAUAUCAGAGCUGAACCUUUCUACCCUAAAGGUUGAAGGAGAUAUCUCUGCUCCAGAUGUAGAUAUCAGUUUGCCCAAAAUGCACCUUGAAGGACUAGAUGUAGAUCGUCAAGCCCCAAAUGUUUACCUUAAUGUUGAUGCUGAUCCAACGACACCAGAUUUAGACAUCUCAGCUCUUGAGGUUGAUGUGCAUUUACCAAAAGUAGACCUUAAAGUUCAUGAUCUAGACCUGAAAACACCAGAGCUCAAUCUUUCAGCCUCCAAACUUGAGGGUGAAGUGAAUGCACCAGAGACGGAUAUCAACGUACCCAAAGCUGACCUCAAAGGAUCUGAAGUAGAUCUAAAAGCUCCAGAUAUAGAUAAGGAUGCCGCUUCAGGCAAAUUCAAAUUCUCUUAUUUUAGGUAACCCUCAUUUGUUCUUUCAAAUCAUAAACUAGAGGAACCCAACUUUGACGUUGAUGCACCUGACAUAAAUAUUCUAGUUCCCACACUUGAGACUGUGCGUGUAGCCCCAAAGGUACCUCAAGCAGACAAAAAUCUAUCUGCUCCUAAUGUUGAAAGUGAUAUCAGUGCUCCAGAUGUAAAUCUAAGUUUACCAAAAGCUGACCUCUCCGGCCCGGAGGUGGAAUUGAAUGCUCCUGGUCUUAAUCUAUCUACUCCAGAGAUUGGAGUAAGUGUCCCAGACAUGAAUCUGAGAGUGCAGAGAGACAUUAAAAGCCCUGGGGUUGAGCUGAAAGCUCCAGAUGUUGACAUUGAGGCUCCCUCUGGAGUCUUAUUUUAAGAUGCCAAAGUUUGGUCUCUCAAGACCUAGAAUAAAGUUACCAGAACUUGAUGCCAGUGCAGAUGUGAAUGCGCCUGAUGUGGAAGUUUCUGUCCCCAAAGUUGAGGGAGAGAUUAGUACACCUGAACUGAGUCUCUCUGCUCCUGACGUCAAUUUACCUGACAUCAAAAUAGAUGACACUCACAAAAGUUAAAAUGGCAAUUAAAGUGGCCAAGGUUUAGAUUCUCUGUCUCAAAAGGUAAAGAUUCUGACAUGGAUAAUGAGGAAGAGCAGAGUAUGGAUGAAACAGAGAGUGGUCAGGUAGAUGUACCAAUGUUUACCUUUCACAGACUUCCAAAGAACAACAAGAUUGAGAGUGCACUCAAAGAUGCUGCGGAGGCCCUUUUUGAGGCCAUUGACACACCAAAGCUUGAAGGAAGCCUUGAUACAGCUAGUACAGAGGUUAGUUUGUCUAAAGUGAAUGCAUCUUUGACUGAAGGAGGGAAAGAGACAUCACCUUCAGGACCUAUUAACAUCAUGGAGCGGUUGAAGUUGUUCAAAGCAAAAAUCACCUCAGAUGCACUAGACUCAUCGGAUGAAACAACAGGAUAUCAAUAAGCCUCUCCAAUAUGCUUGGUCUGAAUAUCACAAAUCCCGAUGCAGAUUAUUCCUGGUUUCCAGCCAUGUGAACCUUACACUUGGGAUAAACCAACAUGAAUGCAACUUUUUUGUAAAUAAGCACCAUUCCAUUUGUGCAUGAGUUGACUCCAUGUUGAGGAUGUGAUUUGUUUCUAUGUAGAAAACAUAAUCAUGUCAUUAUUUUUUUAUGUAGAUUUGUCUCAGAUAUCUCUUUGUAUUCAUCCAUAUGCUACAUCUAUAUUUAAACAGUUGACAUCAAAAUGAAGGAAAAUGUGCUCAUUAGCUCUAUGUGUACUCAAACUUAUUUAAAUUAUGGUACCAUUUCAAAACUUCUGUUCACUUGGAAGUAUACUCAUUUUUACAAAUGCCUCAAUAUUGUAUCUGUCACAAUUCAGACCUAUUUCACCCACAAAGGGGACACAAUCUGUAUGGAAGAUGUCAUCUUUACAUUUUAAGCAAAAACACUAGUUGAAAAGUGAAAUGUAAUUAAACCUUUCAUGAGAUGUUUUUUCCAAUAAACUAUUAUAUUAAAUUAAUACAUCCA